AGAGUUUGAUCCUGGCUCAGAUGAACGCUGGCGGCGUGCCUAAUACAUGCAAGUCGAACGGGGAGUACUUACUUCGGUUUUUACUCCUAGUGGCGAACGGGUGAGUAACGCGUUGGUGACCUGCCCCGAAGAGGGGGAUAACAGUUCGAAAGGACUGCUAAUACCCCAUGUGGUCGUACUGGUUAGAGGCUGUACGACUAAAGGAGUAAUCCACUUCGGGAGGGGCCUGCGUCCCAUCAGCUAGUUGGUAAGGUAACGGCCUACCAAGGCGAUGACGGGUAGGGGACCUGAGAGGGUGGUCCCCCACACUGGCACUGAAACACGGGCCAGACACCUACGGGUGGCAGCAGUAGGGAAUAUUGCACAAUGGGCGAAAGCCUGAUGCAGCAACGCCGCAUGCGCGAAGAAGGCCUUCGGGUUGUAAAGCGCUUUUCCGGAGGAAGAGGAAGGACGGUACUCCAGGAAUAAGGAUCGGCUAACUACGUGCCAGCAGCCGCGGUAACACGUAGGAUCCGAGCGUUAUCCGAAUUUACUGGGCGUAAAGCGCGUGUAGGCGGUCGGGUAAGUUGGACGUGAAAGCUCCUGGCUCAACUAGGAGAGGUCGUUCAAAACUGCCUGGCUAGAGGGCGACAGAGGGAGGUGGAAUUCCCGGUGUAGUGGUGAAAUGCGUAGAUAUCGGGAGGAACACCAGUGGCGAAGGCGGCCUCCUGGGUCGCACCUGACGCUCAGACGCGAAAGCUAGGGGAGCGAACGGGAUUAGAUACCCCGGUAGUCCUAGCUGUAAACGAUGUGGACUUGGCGUUGGUGGGGUUAAAUCCAUCAGUGCCGUAGCUAACGCGAUAAGUCCACCGCCUGGGGACUACGGUCGCAAGAUUAAAACUCAAAGGAAUUGGCGGGGGCCCGCACAAGCAGCGGAGCGUGUGGUUUA
rnacentral:rRNA from 1 species